rnacentral:rRNA from 1 species
CCUACGGGAGGCUGCAGUGGGGAAUAUUGGACAAUGGGCGAAAGCCUGAUCCAGCCAUGCCGCGUGUGUGAAGAAGGCCUUCGGGUUGUAAAGCACUUUCAGUGGGGAAGAAAGCCUUGGGGCUAAUACCCUCGAGGAAGGACAUCACCCACAGAAGAAGCACCGGCUAACUCCGUGCCAGCAGCCGCGGUAAUACGGAGGGUGCGAGCGUUAAUCGGAAUUACUGGGCGUAAAGCGCGCGUAGGCGGUCUGAUAAGCCGGUUGUGAAAGCCCCGGGCUCAACCUGGGAACGGCAUCCGGAACUGGCAGGCUAGAGUGCAGGAGAGGAAGGUAGAAUUCCCGGUGUAGCGGUGAAAUGCGUAGAGAUCGGGAGGAAUACCAGUGGCGAAGGCGGCCUUCUGGACUGACACUGACGCUGAGGUGCGAAAGCGUGGGUAGCAAACAGGAUUAGAUACCCCAGUAGUC